rnacentral:rRNA from 1 species
AUCGAACGCUGGCGGCAGGCCUAACACAUGCAAGUCGAGCGGCAGCGGGUAGAAAGCUUGCUUUCUAUGCCGGCGAGCGGCGGACGGGUGAGGAAUACCUAGGAAUCUGUCCAUUAGUGGGGAAUAACUAUCCGAAAGGAUAGCUAAUACCGCAUACGCCCUACGGGGGAAAGGGGGGGAUCUUCGGACCUCUCGCUAAUGGGUGAGCCUAGGUCGGAUUAGCUAGUUGGUGGGGUAAAGGCCUACCAAGGCGACGAUCCGUAGUUGGUCUGAGAGGAUGACCAGCCACACUGGGACUGAGACACGGCCCAGACUCCUACGGGAGGCAGCAGUGGGGAAUAUUGCACAACGGGCGAAAGCCUGAUGCAGCCAUGCCGCGUGUGUGAAGAAGGCCUUCGGGUUGUAAAGCACUUUAGGCGGGGAGGAAAGGUUAACGAUUAAUACUCGUUAGCUGUGACGUUACCCGCAGAAUAAGCACCGGCUAACUCCGUGCCAGCCGCCGCAGUAA